rnacentral:rRNA from 1 species
UACGAAGGGGGCUAGCGUUGCUCGGAAUCACUGGGCGUAAAGCGCACGUAGGCGGCUUUCUAAGUCAGGGGUGAAAUCCUGGAGCUCAACUCCAGAACUGCCUUUGAUACUGGAGAGCUUGAGUCCGGAAGAGGUGAGUGGAACUCCGAGUGUAGAGGUGAAAUUCGUAGAUAUUCGGAAGAACACCAGUGGCGAAGGCGGCUCACUGGUCCGGUACUGACGCUGAGGUGCGAAAGCGUGGGGAGCAGACAGG